rnacentral:snoRNA from 2 species
GCCUCUGAUGAUGAUCCAUAAAUAACUUUCGUUCUUCCGAGAUGCUCCAUGCGGAUAAAAUUUGGAGACCUGAACUGAAGAGGA